CAGUCGCCACGGGAAUACGUAGGGUGCGAGCGUUAAUCGGAAUUACUGGGCGUAAAGCGUGCGCAGGCGGUUCGUUAAGACAGAUGUGAAAUCCCCGGGCUUAACCUGGGAACUGCAUUUGUGACUGGCGAGCUAGAGUAUGGCAGAGGGGGGUAGAAUUCCACGUGUAGCAGUGAAAUGCGUAGAGAUGUGGAGGAAUACCGAUGGCGAAGGCAGCCCCCUGGGCCAAUACUGACGCUCAUGCACGAAAGCGUGGGGAGCAAACAGGAUUAGAUACCCGCGUAGUCCCUGUCUCUUAUAC
rnacentral:rRNA from 1 species